rnacentral:rRNA from 1 species
AUUGAACGCUGGCGGCAGGCUUUACACAUGCAAGUCGAGCGAGCGGCGGACGGGUGAGUAAUGUCUGGGAACCUGCCCGGUGGAGGGGGAUAACUACUGGAAACGGUGGCUAAUACCGCAUACCAUCAGAUGGGCCCAGAUGGGAUUAGCUAGUAGGUGGGGUAAAGGCUCACCUAGGCGACGAUCCCUAGCUGGUUUGAGAGGAUGACCAGCCACACUGGGACUGAGACACGGUCCAGACUCCUACGGGAGGCAGCAGUGGGGAAUAUUGGACAAUGGGCGCAAUCCUGAUGCAGCCAUGCCGCGUGUAUGAUGAAGGCCUUCGGGUUGUAAAGUACUUUUGGCAGGGAAGCGGUACCUGCAGAAUAAGCACCGGCUAACUACGUGCCAGCAGCCGCGGUAAUAC